rnacentral:rRNA from 1 species
UGGGGAAUCUUGCGCAAUGGGCGAAAGCCUGACGCAGCGACGCCGCGUGGGGGAAGAAGGCCCUCGGGUUGUAAACCCCUUUCGGCAGGGAAGAAGCCGCAAGGUGACGGUACCUGCAGAAGAAGUCCCGGCUAACUACGUGCCAGCAGCCGCGGUAAGACGUAGGGGACGAGCGUUGUCCGGAUUUAUUGGGCGUAAAGAGCGCGUAGGCGGCUCGGAAAGUCGGUUGUGAAAUCCCAGGGCUCAACCCCGGGACUGCGUCCGAUACUGCCGAGCUAGAGGCAGGUAGGGGAGAUCGGAAUUCCUGGUGUAGCGGUGAAAUGCGCAGAUAUCAGGAGGAACACCGGUGGCGAAGGCGGAUCUCUGGGCCUGUCCUGACGCUGAGGCGCGAAAGCUAGGGGAGCGAACAGG